ACCUGGGUGGCUUAGUUGGUUGAGCGUCUGACUUUGGCUCAGGUCAUGACUUCAUGAUUUGUGGGUUCAAGCCCCAUAUUGGGCU
rnacentral:tRNA from 1 species